rnacentral:misc_RNA from 1 species
AACUUUUAACAAUGGAUCUCUUGGCUUUUGCAUCGAUGAAGAACGCCGCGAAAUGCGAAACGUAAUGUGAAUUGCAGAAUUCAGUGAAUCAUCGAAUCUUUGAACGCAUCUUGCGCCCCUUGGUAUUCCGAGGGGCAUGCCUGUUUGAGAGUCAUGAAUACCUCAAUUCAAAUUUAUUUUUUGAAUUGGACUUGGACGCUGUCGUAGUGACUCGUCCUAAACAGAUGAGUGGUUUCAUUUGGGUGACCCAAUGUGAUAAUUUAUUGAGCAUUGUUGAAUUCAAAGUGGACUGCUUCAAACACCUUAACUUCAUGUCGUCUGACCUCAAAUCAGGUAGGACUACCCGCUGAACUUAAGCAUAUCAAUAAGCGGAGGCU